rnacentral:misc_RNA from 1 species
UUUAUUGCUUUCAAAUCUCCAAAUGAAUGACGUUCACUAGGAAAUGCGUGACUUUUUCCUUCCUUCCACUUGGUUUUUGCAGUUUCUGUUUUUCCUCGUGGUGAUUUUUGGCGCAGAGGUGUAUGCCAGCGUGGAAUUGUUUAGAUUUUACGAUGAGGUACCAGGGUAUAUCCAUGGUAGGAUAUUGAAGUUUACUCAUGACUUCCAUUCUGCAAGUAAAAAACAGCUUGACAAUUUACAGCUUGAGGCACGUUGCCACAAGGUCUGCAUCAGUCCCCCCUUCCCUGAACUUUGUCACACAGCCCAGAUGACAUAUAACGGAAACAAAUAGAUGCAGUGCUGUGGAAGCACUAAUUCAACAAAUUGGGUCGAUGGAAAAAUACCACAUACCUGUUUUCAAAAAUCCAUCACAAAUAAUUAUACGCAUGAUACAAUUCAUAAUCAAGAGUGCAGCGAGGUGUUGGAGGAAUGGACCAAAGAAAAUCUACUUAUCAUUGGUUGGGGAGGAUUUUCGUUUUCCGUCGUUCAAGUUUUUGGGAUAGUCCUGUCAUCUUGUUUUUACUACACAUUACGCAAUGAAUUUGGAUGACAGCAGAAACGGAUAUGACGACACAACUCGAGACGCUAUCAGCUAAUACACUUGGAAUCUCAAACUCAUAUGUUUUCACGAAUACAAACAUUUAUUAAAGAGGAACGUAGUGAAAUUCAGUAGAUAAACCCGAAUUAAUUAUCUCGGUAUGAUGAUACGUGUACAUGUACAUGAUGCAUCUACAUGAUUGUAUAUAGUGAGCUAAUAAACAUGUACUAUAAAGGGAGCAAAUAUUGCUGUUCUCAUUGUGAUGUACAUAAUCAUACAUGGUUUCAAUUGAACUAGAGGAAGAUGUAAGUUUAAUGAAAAUACGAAAAGAACACUAGAAUGGUACGAUUAGUAAUUUUUUAUACAUUGAACGGUUAAAUAACAUACUUCAUAUGAAUUUUACAACUAUGUGAUAUAGAUUAACAGCGAGAUAUUUGUACAUACAUGUUUUAACUUGUGCUGAAACUACUAUGAUAUAAUGCCAUGUUCAAUAUGUCGCAUACUUUCGUUAAUAAAAACUUAACAAUGUCUUG